GAUGAACGCUAGCUACAGGCUUAACACAUGCAAGUCGAGGGGAAACGACAUCGAAAGCUUGCUUUUGGUGGGCGUCGACCGGCGCACGGGUGAGUAACGCGUAUCCAACCUGCCCACCACUUGGGGAUAACCUUGCGAAAGUAAGACUAAUACCCGAUGAUAUCUCUAGAAGACAUCUGAAAGGGAUUAAAGAUUUAUCGGUGAUGGAUGGGGAUGCGUCUGAUUAGCUUGUUGGCGGGGUAACGGCCCACCAAGGCAACGAUCAGUAGGGGUUCUGAGAGGAAGGUCCCCCACAUUGGAACUGAGACACGGUCCAAACUCCUACGGGAGGCAGCAGUGAGGAAUAUUGGUCAAUGGGCGAGAGCCUGAACCAGCCAAGUAGCGUGCAGGACGACGGCCCUAUGGGUUGUAAACUGCUUUUAUAAGGGAAUAAAGUGAGUCUCGUGAGACUUUUUGCAUGUACCUUAUGAAUAAGGACCGGCUAAUUCCGUG
rnacentral:rRNA from 1 species